UACGUAGGGGGCAAGCGUUGUCCGGAUUUACUGGGCGUAAAGAGCGUGUAGGCGGCCAAGCAGGUCCGUUGUGAAAACUGGAGGCUUAACCUCCAGACGUCGACGGAAACCGCGUGGCUAGAGUGUGUCAGAGGGGGGUAGAAUUCCACGUGUAGCAGUGAAAUGCGUAGAGAUGUGGAGGAAUACCGAUGGCGAAGGCAGCCCCCUGGGAUAACACUGACGCUCAGGCACGAAAGCGUGGGGAGCAAACAGG
rnacentral:rRNA from 1 species